rnacentral:rRNA from 1 species
UACGUAGGGGGCAAGCGUUGUCCGGAAUCAUUGGGCGUAAAGCGCGUGUAGGCGGCUUCGUAAGUCCGUUGUGAAAGUCCAGGGCUCAACCCUGGAAUGCCGAUGGAUACUGCGGAGCUAGAGUCCGGAAGAGGCGAGUGGAAUUCCCGGUGUAGCGGUGAAAUGCGCAGAUAUCGGGAGGAACACCAAUGGCGAAGGCAGCUCGCUGGGACGGUACUGACGCUGAGACGCGAAAGCGUGGGGAGCAAACAGG